AUUGAACGCUGGCGGCAUGCCUAACACAUGCAAGUCGAGCGAGCGGCGGACGGGAGAGUGGUGCCUGGGAAUUGCCAGGUCGAGGGGGAUAACAUUUGGACACGAAUGCUAAUACCGCAUACGCUUGUAUUGCCCAGGUGAGAUUAGCGGGUUGGUGAGGUAAUGGCUCACCAAGGCGACGCUCCUGAGCUGGUCUGAGAGGAUGACCAGCUACACUGGACCGGAGACACGGUCCAGACUCCUACGGGAGGCAGCAGUGUGGAAUAUUGCACAAUGGGGGAAACCCUGAUGCAGCCAUGCCGCGGGUGUGAAGAAGGCCUUCGGGUUGUAAAGCACUUUCAGCGAGGAGGCGUUACCCGCAGAAUAAGCACCGGCUAACUCCGUGCCAGCAGCCGCGGUAAUUC
rnacentral:rRNA from 1 species